rnacentral:lncRNA from 1 species
UCGCAACGUAGUUCGAUAGUUCGUGGUCAUGCUAAAAUGUCUGGUUUUCCGUUGUUCUGUUUGUGUUCUUUUUCUCUCGUUCAUGUUUAUGGGUGGCUGCCAUGCCGGUCCAAUUGCGAUUCCUCAACCAACCGCCAAUUCAGGGUCCCUUGAAGGGUCAUCCAACAGCCGCGGACAACAAGCCGACAUGAAUGAGGGAUUCGAGGAGUCACCAUACAGAAGCCUGCGAAAUCGAUCAGCGGCUGCGCGAACGAGGUUCUCACCGACAGUCAGCACGUCAAAGAUAAGUCCAUCCGAAUCCUCACCGACACCCAGCAUCUCGACCAUGGCGAAGAACUCCGUCAUGAGCGUCGUUAGUUCGUUGGACGAAGUGGCCGGGAAAGCCGUGAGCGCGGUGGGUCUCCUCCUGGGCUUCCUCAACGGAUUCACCACGCAGUUAGGCACGAGCGCGUUCAACUCGAUGGUGCGGGUCCACAACGCGAACGUGGACAAUCUCCAUCGUCUGCGACACCUGGCGGGGAACGUGGGGAGCUCGGCCGUGGACCUGGGAGCCUCGGCCGUUGCCGAGACGGCCAGCGUGGUGGGCGCCGUGUGUCGGGAGAACGAGCGGGUCCUGAGCCGCGUGCCUGGGGUUCGACGUCUCGUGGACCUGAAGAGCGUGGCCGGCCUGGCCGCGGCGGGCGGGCUCGCGUCGGCCGCCGGCGCCGUCAAGAAGAUCGGGGGCCUGGCCGUCAGCGCCGUGGCGUUGGAGAAGGACGACCGGGUGGCGGACGCCGAGGGGGUCCUGCAGAAGAUCGGGGGGUUCUUGAAGAAGAUCGAGGGGCUCUCCGGCUCGGAUGUCGUGACGGUCGGCCUCGCGGUGGGGACUAGUGACGGUCCAGCGGGUGCCCUGAACAAUAUCGUGGGGGCGACGAACCCUGAGUCCUCGUUCAGGAUCGGCCAGACCAUCGGUCGCCUCGCGUAGGAGGUUGCAAUCAAGGUAUGUGAAUCGAAGGUUUGCUCAUCCCGACCCUAUCGGCUCCCGCCGCUAGUUGUGACGCGAAGUUUACAUUUCAACAGUUUUGCAGUUCUGGCCGAAAACAAAUUGGACUGCCUGCUGUUGAUAAAAAUGAAAAAGCAGCCAAAGUACUAAAAGCAAAUGAAUGUUCAUUUUUGAGGAAUUCGCUUGCGUUGAAUUUGUUCGUUUUGGUCAACAGCAGACGGUUAUGUUCGUUUUCGGCCAAUACUGCAAAAUUGUUGAAAUUCAAACUUCUCGCCACAGCUCCAGUGGCGGCAGCCGAUAGCCGAGUUCUGGCCGGAAGGGUCGGGAAGAGCAUACCUUCGUUUCACUUCCCUUGGGUGGCAACGGGUCAGCUGCGCUGGUCGCAGAAUCGUGUUUUGAUGCCAGAUCCUUGUAGGUUAGCCAAAAAUAAUAAGAUCCGUCCAAUUAGCAAAUGUCCUCGUUAAAUAUUAAAAGGUCUUGAUACACGAUCAACUUACGAACCAAUUCUGAUCAAAGGAGUCCAGUUGAUGACUGAUGGUCACCAUGCAACAGUCCUCUCUGGUCAAAAUUGGACGGGCCGUCUUUUGAUCAGAACGGAGUGCCAUACCAUUCAUCAUUUCCGGCCGCACGAAACAUUUUAAAACUAAACAAAGUAAUGAUUUUAAGACUGAUGACUCCCGACACUUAAAUGGUAAUUGGUUCGGGAAUUUGAUCGUGUAUCGAGACCUUGUCAAGGUAUCGCGCAUUGAAAAUUUGGUUUAUGACGUCAUCCACCGCGGUCGUUGUAUACUAUGGUUUUUUCCACCCUGGUUUCAUCAAAAAGUGAUAAGCACGUUAGCACUGAUUCAUUGAUGUAAAGCACGAUUUGUAAUUUGUAAAUACAUAUAAAGCACCAUGGUAUGUGCAACCAUGGUGGAUGCUGUUAUAAACCGAGUUUUUCAAAGCGUGAUAUCUCUGUUAAUAUGAAGUUUAGGAAGUUGUUGUUUGGACACGUCAUUCUUAUUUUAAACUAUCCACAAUAAUCCAGCAUCAAAACACGAUUCUAUGUCCAGUGCAACGACUUACUACGGACUGGUAGAUUCUAUCAUAUUAUCCUGAGUUUUUGCCAUGACAUUCAGAUGAUAUUAUUCGAAGGUGAUCAGUUGCCUUCACAUUCUACAACUUUUUUAUUUUUAUUAAACGUUUAAGUAUCGUAAUUAAACAAGGUGGUAUAAUGGUGCAGCGUCCACAUUAUUUGGCAGGGAGAGCAAGGCCUAAAAUGUCCAUUAGAGUCUAAGAAUGUGUGCUCUGAUGAGUUCUAAUUUUACCACCUUGCAUAGUACAUAUAGUUCGGCGGGCCGAUUAUUGAAAUUUAAACCAGCCCGAUAAGACAUCGAAUUGCGAUAUAUUGCAUGGUUGAGAUAGGGCAAUGUCUUGUCGUGUCGGGCUGACAUAUUUUCAAUAAUCGGGCCGCAGGCCACUUUUUCGUGUUCGUAUAAUUAAAUCUAUGCAUACACAUGUUAAGUGUUUAAACAUCAUCUUGUUACGUAUACAGUUCGGGCCACACUUUCAGUGUUCUUUUUGUUUUCGUAGAAUUAAAUCAAUACAACCAAUAUGUAGUGUCGGAAUUAUUGUACAAGAGAAACAGACAGGUGACCUGCCCAGUGAAAUGAACUCCAGCUUUCACAUAUCCCUAUAGUUUAUUUUGUAUUUGAAAUAACUGCAAGAAACAGUCACAAGUGAAUAUAAAGAGCUAUUAAACAGGCAAAGGCAGCUUUGUUUUGACAAGCAAAAUCUGCUAACUGAUCCAAACGUUUAAAGUAAUGCAUUUAACAUUUUCAUGCGGCAUGUCUAACUGCUUUUCAGGCUGCCUGCUGUGCAGCAUGAAGCGCCGCCGCUAGAGAUGGGCAAAUAGAGCACUCGAUACGGAAAUACGUUUUUCAAUUUAUGGUCAUGUUUCGGUUUGGAUUUUUGUUCCAAUCAUCGAAGGGGGAAAACUUAUGAAAGGGUCACCCUCAGGAGGAGGCAGAGAGGAGAGGGUACCCCUCCCUAAAUAUAAUUUCGAAAUGGAGAUUUCUCAUUUGUGUCACGCGUAUCGAGCUUUUCUUUUGCCCAUCCUACAAGGCACUAAAAUGUCUUCCAUCCAUGGGACAACUGACAUAGAACUAUCUCUACCGCAAGGGACAUAUAAACAACGAGUUUUCUUCCUUUGGGUUUAGAAUUCAUUUCUACCUUAGUUUCAUAAAGUACAUAAAACAGCAUUCUUCAUUCUGCUCAUUCCAGACUUUCCACUUGAUCGGGUAGUUGCCCUGAAACAGAAAUACAUAGUGCUUCAGUAAAUCCACCUUCUCUCGACUUCCGGCGCGUGGAGAGCGCGCGCUUUUACCCUUUGCACUAUUUGCGAGAUUCUCUCAAUAUUGAGCUCGCGGAACAUGAGCGACUAUUUGUCUACGUUAUGCGUAGAGGAACUACUAUUUUAGUUCAUUCAUGGAAGCGCCUUUCUGCAUAGGGGAUCUAAUGGCACUUACGUUGUUUCUAAAAACUACUAUCUCUGGCUCACUCAUGGAAGCACCUUUUUAAUGGCACUUUCGUUGCUCCUCAAGUGAACAAGAAAUAGUAGUCCCGAUUUGCAAAGGAGGGGCCAAUUAUUCUUGUCACGCGCGACUGGUUGAAACAUAUUUCGACGGAAGAAGAAAGUAAUCUCUGCGAUCGUCUUUGAAUUUAGCAAAUUUUAGCCCGGCAGAUUUCUCGCUCAACUUGAACUGCAAAAUAAUUAAACUCUCAAACUUGUAUUUCUCGGAAUAGCUUGAACUUUCUUUCCGCCAUAAGGAUCCAUGCAAUUCCGAAACUUCAAACACGUAUUUCAUGAAAUAGCAAAAACUCCACUUAUGUGCCUCGUCCUUCCAAGCCCCUCCAUUCUAGGCCCUGCAGCUUCAAAUGUUCGUGUGUUUC